CUACGGGGGGCAGCAGUAGGGAAUAUUGGUAAUGGGCGAAAGCCUGAACCAGCAACGCCGCGUGUGCGAUGAAGGCCUUCGGGUUGUAAAGCACUUUUUGAGGGGAUGAGGAAGGACAGUACCCUCAGAAUAAGCCUCGGCUAACUACGUGCCAGCAGCGCGCGGUAAAACGUAGGAGGCGAGCGUUAUUCGGAUUUACUGGGCGUAAAGCGCGUGCAGGCGGUUCGGUAAGUUGGAUGUGAAAGCUCCUGGCUCAACUGGGAGAGGUCGUUCAAUACUGCCGGGCUAGAGGAUGAGAGAGGGAGGUGGAAUUCCGGGUGUAGUGGUGGAAUGCGUAGAUAUCCGGAGGAACACCAGUGGCGAAGGCGGCCUCCUGGCUCAUUUCUGACGCUAAGACGCGAAAGCUAGGGUAGCAAACGGGAUUAGAUACCCUCGUAGUC
rnacentral:rRNA from 1 species